rnacentral:lncRNA from 1 species
AUGGACCCCUUCUCUCAGCCAAGAGUAUUCCAAAGUUAACCUGAAAAACUAGUUUAGGUCAUGAUGGGAAGGAGGAGUAGGACAUGCCCCAUUAUGCCCUCCUCCCUUUUAGAAUUCUGGCACAGCUGACCAGUAUUAACAUUGAAACAGACCUUAAGGCUGACAAAGCAGACUCUUUGUAAUAAGAACAUAUCAAAUUCCAGCCUGACUCUAGUAUAGCAUCACAUGACAGAGAGCAUGCCCUGAAAUAAAUCAAAGUAUUUUACCCCAAAUUAUGUUUCUUUGCCAUAUCUUGAAAUAGUCCUGCAAAGCUGUCUCUUAUGGGGAAAAUCUACACUCUGAAGAGAAUCCCCUUCCUUUUCCAGGCCUUUUCCCUGAUCCAGGAGAGAAUCAACUCUGAGAUGGGCUUUUCGCUACGUUGCCCAGGCUGGUCUCGGACUCCUGGGCUCAAGGGAUCAAUCUGCCCUGGCCUCUCAAAGUGCUGGGAUUUCAGAUGUGAGACUCCGCACCAGGCCUGGAUGUUUACAUUUUUAAAAUAUGGUACCAAGAGGAUAUUUGUUUCGGAUGAGAGCUCUCUAAAGAUUAUUUUAGAUGUCAAACCAAAGGAUCUGUGUCUGGCCAUCAGUGGAUAGGACCUCUGAAUGAUACAUCUACUCCCAGAAACCGUAAAGCCUUUUGAUGGAAAGACCCAGAGGCAAAUUUCCAGGCUGAGAAUAAGUUUUUAUCAUGGACAAAAGAGACAUCCCUGAAAUGGGUGCAGAUGAUGUUGCCCCUGUGAUUCCGAAUAGGUCACUCCCAAAGAUAGACAUGGAAUAUGAAGACAUUCGUUGUCACAGGUGGUAAGGAAACUCCAGUCUUCCACAAAAGUGAGACAGCUUCAAUCACAGACCCACUAAUCUGUGACACCAGGUAGGCAAUACUGGGAUAGGACUUUCCCUAGCACAAAUAGGCGGCAAAGAAAAGACGCAGACUCAGCUCUGAAAAUUGGCACAGUUGCUAGGCAAAGUAUCUCGGGUCCUCAUCCUGAUAGCUCACCACCUACAGAUGCAAGCCCAACAACCUGCAACUCCAGCAGAAAAACCAGGGAGAACGCGCUCUCACUGGAUCCAAGCCAAGCUCUCAAGACACAAGAUAAGAUGGAAGAAAAAUCUCAUCUUUUUAAAACAUUGGUGACCCACAGCAAAGUUGGUUCAAAUGGAAACUGGUCCGGUGAGAACUGUAAACUCACCAAUCUGUGAGACUGACUCAAACAACAGGGUUAUAGGAUAUAUGCCUGCAUUUUACCCUAUGAUUCUUCCUCUUAUGGCAAGUGACACAAAAGACAGAGACAAAAGAAUAUUGUGGCUACCCUUUGAGAGAGAGAUGGAUCAAUAAGAAAUGAUCAAAGUCACACAAACCCAGAGAACUAACUUCAUACAAACGUUUUCUCCUGUUAAUCUAAACUUGGAAAGGAGACAUUUUUACCACCUGGUCUUGACCAUAGCCUGGAAAUCUGGGAUGCUGAGUUCAGGAAGAAUUCUUAACUUUCUGCCAGUUUGGUCUGGGCUCCAGAGUUUUACUGUAGCCUCUGGGGUGAGUCAGGGACUUUGUUGGUUUUGUUCUCUGUUGUAUCCCUAGCACCUAGAACAGCACUCAGACACAUAGCAGAUUCUCAGAAAACUCUUGUUGAAGAAUGGCUGGGAGCCAGGCACAUCGCAAACAUCACUAAGAUGCACAGAUGUCCUCCAAGGUGGGCAUUUGAAUGAGACUCAGAGAGGACAGGUCACUGCUAUGGUUUGAGUAUUUGUCCUCUCCAAAAUUUAUGUUGAAGUUUAAUUCCCAAUUUGGUAAUGUGGAGAGGUGAGACCUUUGAGAGGUGAUUGGGCCAUGAAGGCUCUGCUGUCGUGAAUGGAUUAAACGGUUAAUGAAUUAACGAGUUACCAUGGGAGUGGGACUGGUGGCCCUAUAAGAAGAGGAAAAGAGACCUUAAUUAGCACACUCAGCCCCCUUGCCAUGUGAUACCAUACCUAUCUGCACCGCCUGAGGACUCUCGGAGAGUCCCCACCAGCAAGACCAUCCUACCUAGAUGUGCCCCCUCAACCUUGAACUUAGCCUCCAGAACCGUAAGAAAUAAAUUCCUUUUCUUUAUAAAUUACCCAGUCUCAAGUAUUCUGUAAUAGCAACACAAAACCACUAAGACACCAGGCAAGUGGAACAGCAUUGACUUACCCAAGAAGAGACACUGGGCUCGCCAGGUAGCAUCAGUUUAGCUAAUUAAUUAUGAACACUCUUGCUGUUG